AGUCAACCUAACCUAUGGACGGGAAUAACCUCGGGAAACUGAGAAUAAUGCCCGAUAGAACAUUAUGCCUGGAAUGGUUUAUGUUCCAAAUGAUUUAUCGCCGUAGGAUGGGACUGCGGCCUAUCAGUUUGUUGGUGAGGUAAUGGCCCACCAAGACUAUUACAGGUACGGGCUCUGAGAGGAGUAGCCCGGAGAUGGGUACUGAGACGCGGACCCAGGCCCUAUGGGGCGCAGCAGGCGAGAAAACUUUGCAAUGUGCGAAAGCACGACAAGGUUAAUCCGAGUGGUUUCUGCUAAAGAAACCUUUUGUCAGUCCUAGAAACACUGAUGAAUAAGGGGUGGGCAAGUUCUGGUGUCAGCCGCCGCGGUAAAACCAGCACCUCAAGUGGUCAGGAUGAUUAUUGGGCCUAAAGCAUCCGUAGCCGGCUCUGUAAGUUUUCGGUUAAAUCUGUACGCUCAACGUACAGGCUGCCGGGAAUACUGCAGAGCUAGGGAGUGGGAGAGGUAGACGGUACUCGGUAGGAAGGGGUAAAAUCCUUUGAUCUAUUGAUGACCACCUGUGGCGAAGGCGGUCUACCAGAACACGUCCGACGGUGAGGGAUGAAAGCUGGGGGAGCAAACCGGAUUAGAUACCCGGGUAGUCCCAGCUGUAAACUAUGCAAACUCAGUGAUGCAUUGGCUUGUGGCCAAUGCAGUGCUGCAGGGAAGCCGUUAAGUUUGCCGCCUGGGAAGUACGUACGCAAGUAUGAAACUUA
rnacentral:rRNA from 1 species